rnacentral:rRNA from 1 species
UACGUAGGCAGCAAGCGUUGUUCGGAGUACUGGGCGUAAAGGGUGUGUAGGCGGUUGUUUAAGUUUGGUGUGAAAUUCUCCCGGCUACAACCGUGGGAGGGUGCGGCCGAAUACUGAAUGACUAGAGUGCGGGAGAGGAAAGUGGGAAUUCCUGGUGGUAGCGGUGAAAAUGCGUAGAUAUCAGGAGGAACGACCGGCUGGUGUAGACGGACGUUUCUUCGGACCGGAACUGCGACUGAGACACGAAAGCGUGGGUAGCAAACAGG